rnacentral:rRNA from 1 species
AGGAAUAUUGCACAAUGGGCGCAAGCCUGAUGCAGCAACGCCGCGUGCGGGACGAAGGCCUUCGGGUCGUAAACCGCUUUUCUGGGGAAAGAGCAAGGACGGUACCUCAGGAAUAAGUCUCGGCUAACUACGUGCCAGCAGCCGCGGUAAAACGUAGGAGGCGAGCGUUAUCCGGAUUUACUGGGCGUAAAGCGCACGCAGGCGGCUCUGUGAGUCGGACGUGAAAGCUCCCGGCUUAACCGGGAGAGGCCGUUCGAUACUGCGGGGCUUGAGGUAGGGAGAGGAAUGCGGAAUUCCCGGUGUAGUGGUGGAAUGCGUAGAUAUCGGGAGGAACACCUGUGGCGAAAGCGGCAUUCUGGCCCUCACCUGACGCUGAGGUGCGAAAGCGUGGGUAGCAAACAG